rnacentral:tRNA from 1 species
GCGGGGUAGCUCAGCUGGUUAGAGCGUCGGAUUCAUAAUCCGGAGGUCGCGGGAUCGUGCCCCGCCCCC